AGGGAGGAAGGAAACCAAGACAGAAGAUAAUGGACUGUCAGUCACUAUGCCCUUCACACUUACAACCUUCCUAGAUCACUGAGGACACGGUCUGAGGCAAUUGGUCAAAAUGAUAUAUGUAUAUGUUUCUUUUUUUUUUUUUUAACCUCCUUAGCUGGCCACCCCUGCCCAGGCAACAGCUCCUAGGGGCAGGCGAUGGUUGCCGGCAUUGAGCUCCCUGCUGGCGCCUUCUGGUGGGACAGCCGGUGCCAAAGAGCGCCCAGGGAAACAAACAGCAACGGGGGACUCUACAGAUGCCAUGGAUGCACAUGUAGGAUACUAAUCUGUCCAGAAAGGGGAGAGAAGGAGGGCGACAGGCUACGGAUCCGGGUCCAGGAGCCGCCGCAGUGGAGCGGGCGGCGGGGUGCGCGCACAGGUGCCACAGGCCGGCGGCGCCGAGAGCGGUAGCCGCUGCCUCCCGGACUCAGCACUUGCACCCGCGCGGUGAAGCCGCGGCUGCUGCCAAGCUUGGGUAACCCCCAGCCUGAGCCACGAAAGGAAGAGCCCAAGGAAAGGGCGCGAAGGGGGAAGGAAGGUGGAGUGGAAGGAGGGCGGAGGAGAGACCCAUCGCCUCAUCUCCGAUUUCUCUUCCCCGAGCUCAUCUGGUGGGGACCUUUCUGGGCUCGGGUGCGCCUCCCUCCCCACCGCCUUAACUCUGGGCGAGCGUCUCCCCCUCUCUCCUUGCUCACCCCCCACCCUCCCUGCUUUUCCGUCCCUCCCUACCGCGUGCCUCCUCCCCUCCCCCUCGCCUCCCUCCCUUCCAGCGGCUGUAGCAGUAGCAGCUUCAGCGAAGCCGGAGAUGGGCAGAGAGCGCGCGCGGCGCAGCAGCUACAGAUUCACUGCUCCCUCCUGCAGCUCCCGGCGCCCCCGCCGCUGUCGCCGCCUCGGUGUCCCCCAGCUCCAGUCCCGCUCUUAGGACAGCGCCAGCGCCGCCGCCGCCGCCUGGCCCUGUCUGCCUCCUGCGCCGCGCAGCCCUAGCGCGCUCCCCGGAUGGCGCUUUACCCCUAGGACCGACUGAGUCUUGUUCUGUCACCAAGGCUGGAGUACAGUGGUGUGAUCUUGGCUUACUGCAACCUCCAUCUUCCAGGUUCAAGUUUAGAAUGUAAUAAUUCAAGGAUUUGAUAAUACAGUGAAGUAGUUUAACAACUGUCUAUGUGCUUCCCAUGAUAUGUUCUCUAUAUUUUCUAUUGGCUCUUUUUUUAUUCCAUGGAAAGCUUCAUUCUGUGACUUAACUUUUCCUAUGCCUACAAACAGUGAUUGCAUUUGUAAGUAUCACAUCUUCCUAUAAUAUUCUCCAAUUAUAAACAGAAUGUCUUAGAUUAAGUAAAAAGAUAAUUACCUUUUUUCCCAAUAGUCAAAAGUUUUUGGCUUUAUCUCGUUUGAAGCAAAGUAUUUCACGUAUAUACUUCUGAACCAAUCAGUGUAGCUGACAGCUCCUGUAUGCAGAUUGGAAGACAGGCAUAGGCAGUGGAUGAGGUCCCAUGGGCUGGAACCAGCAGCAAGCACUGGUCCUUCAAAGUACUUGCUGCUGUACAAUAGGAGAGGGGUAGAGCAUAUGUCAAGGAGGCAAUGACAGUCCCUGCAGUUACCCAAACUUCACAUUUCCGUUGGCUCUUAAAUCACAAAAGCAUUCUCUCUAGCGUACAGAAAAAUGACUCCCAAUCAGCAAAGAUUCUCGCAAUUCCACAGCAGUUAAGGUUUAUUUCCCUGUGAUGCCUGUCUUUAUUUAAAUGCUCUUAGCAAGCUUCAAAGCAAUUUUAAAAACUGAUUCUGCCGCGCGCGGUGGCUCAUGCCUAUAAUCCCAGCACUUUGGGAGGCCGAGGCGGGUGGAUCACGAGGUCAAGAGAUGGAGACGGGUCAACAAGGUGAAACCCCGUCUCUACUAAAAAUAGAAAAAAUUAGCUGGGCAUGGUGGUGCACGCCUGUAGUCCCAGCUCUUUGGGAGGCUGAGGCAGGAGAAUUGCUUGAACCCAGAAGAAGGAGGUUGUGGUGAGCUGAGAUCGUGCCAUUGCACUCCAGUCUGGGUAACAACAGCGAAACUCCAUCUCAAAAAUAAAUAAAUAAAUAAAUAAAUAAAAUCUGAUUCUUUGAAAUCCAGAGAGUUACUAAUUGGGAGUUAGAAAGGGGGUAAAAAACUCAGUGUCAAAUGAUUUAUUGUAAAAGGUCUUUUUUAUCUGUUUGGGAAGGAAGAGAGUGUUAUGGUCUGAAAUGUGUUGUCAAAUUCACAUCAAAGUCCCAAUCUCCAGUACAUUUUUGGAGAUAAGGUCGUUAAAGAGAUGAUUAGAUUAAAAGGCCUCUCGUGUUUGGCCCCAAUCUAAAAUGGCUGGUGUCCCUUUAAGAAAAGCAAGAGCUACCAGAGAUGAGAGCACAGGAAGGAAUGACCAAGUGAAGAGGCAGAGAGAGGGCAGCCACGUGCAAGCCAAGAAAGAGUUUCAGCAGGACCCAAUCCUCAUGACCCCUUGAUCUCAGACUUCCAGCCUCUAGAACUGUGAGGAAAUAAAUUUCUUCUGCUUAAUCUACCCAGUUUGUGGUAUUUUGUUAUGAAUCCCUAGCAAACUAAUACACAACGUAGUUUGUUUGCUUUUUGUAUCAAUAAAUAUCUGAUUGCUGAAACAAUUUCUAGUAUCAUUUCUUAACAUAUAUUUGUUAGGUGCACUCUAUUUUUGGUCUAGGACUUUCUCCUGUAACUGGUAAACUGGUAUAUAUAUAUAUAUGAUACUGCUGGUACUUGUUGAGGUUGAUGCAUUUCUCUUCACCAGUGAAGUCUAAUGCUACAGGAAAGUUUUCAAAUUUCACACUGGUCCAGGACUGGUAAUUUUUUUUCCAAGUGGCGAAUACUUUGAGGAGGAGAGCUGUGAGCCAGUGCAAUUAACACCAUGGUCACUUUCUAAUUUUCUUGUUGGUGUUUAUGAACACAACGUUUCCCCUUGGAGCCUUGGGGUGAUUUCUGGUGAUGCAGGAUUUUAUGUCCUUAGCUCAGCUAGGUCCAGGUUCUUGUCUAACAACCAGGAAAAAUCAGGCAUGAGGACACUCGAAGAGUGAGUGGAGUAGAAUUUAUUAAGUGAAAAGAAAAACUCUCAUCAAAAAGGGAGGUCCUGAAAGCAGGUUUCCAGUUGCCCUUCAUAGCUGAGUACAAGGGCUUUUAUAAGCUGAUGGAGCUGGUUCUUUGAUUGUAUAAGGCACGAAUUCCAGGUGGAACCAUUCCAUCCCCCCCUGUAUGCAUGUGGACCCUUAAUCUUCUGCAGGCAUGUUUAGGCUGUACCCUAUGCAAGUUCUCUUAUCUGCUCAAAAUAUCUGGUGUAGGCACUUGUGGGGCAGGUUGGGUGUUCUCCAGGGACCCUUCCCUUACUGUCUGCCUAAAGCACGCUGGCUAACUCCUUUAACCGGUUUUGAAGAUUUUGUUGUUGUUUCUCUAAGCACUAUCUCUUUUCAUUUUAUUUUAUUAUAAAUCCAGUUCUUAUAAUGUCUAAAUGAAAUAUCUCGUUUUUAUUGUGUGCUGAGGUUUGGAACUCAAAUGUACAAAUUAUGGCUGCCUACAUAUAAAGAACAGAAGUAUGUUGCCAUUAAAUAAAAUAAUGGGCAGACAAUGUUAGUUUGAAAUGUUCUUUUUCCCCUCUGUUCCUAUUAAAUUUGGGUUGGUUCUUUGUUAGAGGAAAGAGAAAGAAAGAAAGUGCAAUGCUAUUGCCCAGAAACUUAUCCCCAAAGGAAUUGAGUUAACUGUACCUAGUCCAAGAGAAAGACAUUAAAUUAUGACUGGCUAAAAAGGCUAACCAAGAUGUGUGUGUUUACUAGGAUUUCUUCUUAUAUUCUUUGUGUCUAUAUAAUAUGAUCAGUAUCUUCACUUUCAUUUUCUCUUUAAUUGUGAGACGGGUGUGACAGUUCUGCCCAGGAUAUCUCAGAGCCUGUUACCAAAGUCACUAAAAACAUCACAAAGGAGGACCUUGAGCUCCUCAGAAUAUGUUAAAUAAGUAUUCAAUGAGGUAAACUGUAAAGAUUCUGAGUCUUUUCAUAAUCUUUUAUUAUUUUGGUGAGCUAGCUUUUGUGCUUUUCCUUUGAAAGAGAACGCCUGAUAAAAUGACUUGAAAAAUGUACACUGAGUCAGAGUGAACAAUACUCCUGGAUUUGCAAGUGUUUAUUUUAAUUAUAAAGAAAGUCCCAGUUUAUAAUUUAUUCUAGACAAAUAAUGACAUUUAAAGGCAACCAUGGUUUUAAUAGUUCUCUGAAUCAAGCAAAAACAAUUUAGGAAAAUUUAAACAUUUAAACCUCAGAAAUGCCAAAGAAGACUCUAAAGCUAAUUCAGUUAAUGAUUUCAAAAUCUUAUUUGAUCUCUUUAUAUACACAUUUUAUAAAACAGGAAUAAAAACACCCCUCAACAGAAGCUACUCAGUCCAGCAAUUACAAUUUGAAUCAAUAUCAUAUUAAUAAACCGCAACACUGCCUUGCAUUUUUUUAUCUGUUGCUUCAAAAAUCACUUGUCUUCAAAUCUACUGUCUUUUCUUUAGAGACAGUCUCAUUCCAGAAACACAGAAAUUUUUGCUUAAUGAUAUGAUGCAAAUAAAAAGAAUACAUUUAUAAAAUAUAAUUUAUCUAGCUAUUUUUUUCUCUAACUCUAAAAUUUUAUCUGUGAAUAUCAAUUAUAUUAUCCAGUCUUUUACAAUCACUAAUAGAACAAGCAUUAUUAGAAAAGAUGAUUAGAUAAGGCCUCAACUAUGAUGAUUUUUAAUUAGCACUUUUGUAAUAUGAUUUGCUGAAGAAAAUAUGAUUAGUGGUUACUAUAAUUUUUACAAUGUCAUUUAUCUGAGCUUGACUUUUGUGUCAUUUUUGUAAAUAAACACAUAAAUGAAUAAAGGGACACACUCUCAAAGAUUCCAUUUCUUAUAUGUACUUUUUUAAAGCAAGGUGGUGGUUUAAUGAUCUUUAACUCAUCUUGACAUCAUAAUGGACAAACAGUGGAGAAAGAUUUUCCCCACUAUGUAGGUGUAUGAUAUUAAAGCAAUAAACACUAUGCAAUGUAAGUUAAAUUAUCUAUAAUAUAUAUGAUGUGAGUGUGUGUGUGCGUGUGCGCGUGUGUGUGUGCAUGUGGAUGCACUUCCUGAGACUAGCAAUUCCUUUUUCAGGAGCAUUUUAUGAAAUAUCAAAUAUUAAUCUAUCUGAAUUUAUGAUCUGACAAGGGGAAUUAUUAACUUCUCUUAGAUGGAAACCGCUUUGCAACAGGGCAAAACAAAUUGGUCCCUAAUUUCUAAUCACUCCUUCAGUAAUUCUAGGGACAGACACUCAUUAAUCAGUUCUCAGAUAAGAAACGUGCUCUGUUCUUUUAAUGAUCAAGUAUUCUGGGGAGACUUAAAGAAUCUCCAAUCAUCUCUUCCACUUCCAUAGUAUUAGAGUUGUUGCUUCAUCACCCAAAUUACCCAUAACUUUCCUCUAUACCAUUAAUGACUAAAAUUUAAGCUCUCGUUUCUUUUUCCCGAAUCAACCGCCUAGGCUUGCAUCUUCAGAACUUUAACAUAAUUUGUUAAAUUUAUUUAUAGGAAAUUGCUCAUAGAUUAUCUGCUGCAUCCCCAUUGUUGUCCUCUGAAUGGUGAUAUACUAUUAAGUUGAGCCAAAGAAAAAAAUAAUUGAAAGCAUCUUUUCUCUAGAACUUCCCUCCAAAAAUGAAAGAAUUAAAUAAGACAUGAUAAAUUAGAACAUAAAUUAUUAAGAUGGAUUCUACAAGACUAAAUGUACUGGUAAACUUCUAUGUCUGUAAAAUGAUUUUAAAAAUUUUUUAAAGUGUAAUUUGUAGAAACAUCUCCCAAAAUAAGCUUUCAGAGCCAGGCUAAUUACACUGACUAAAUCUUUUUGACUUGUUUUUUUUUUCUCAUAUAAAGUCUGCCUAUGGUGCUUCAAAGCCCUCUUUAUUCUUUAAACUGUUUCUGCUGGAGUCAGGAUCCAGGUUCCAUUCAUUUUUCUCCCAUUUUAGUCCUUAGCAUGGUAUCUAGUAACUGUUAAACAUGACUGAAUGAAUCAAGCAUUACAAUUUCCUAUAUGAGUCUUAUAUAGACAAGAUUCCAAAAACAUUUAUUAUUUUAGCAGUGGAGGUAAUAAAUUAUUGUGAUAAACUGCAUCCGUGAUCCAUGCAUUAUCAGUGAUAAAGUUAACCAUGUCAAAUUUUAAUUAUGGCCACAGCUACUUUCUGCUAUUCUACUUUAUAUUCACUGAUUAUACCUUUAAUAUUAUUUUUCAUUAGCUUAAAUUUAUAUUACCAAAGAAACAAGAAAUUAAUUAGGCUAACAGAUAAAAUCAGGGGAUAGGAGAAUUUUCAGGACACUUAUUAGUUAGAUUAAAAUAAAAUGUUUUGUACUUUUACCUACAGACAUUUUCAUUGAGCUUUAAAACAUACUGCCAUUCCCUGUGUUUUCAAAUAAGAAGAUGGCUCAAAGCCACACAUGGCAUGCACACCACUGAUUUAAUUUUUGGCACACUGAAUUCAAACUAGGAAUUCUGAAAUCUGUGUCAAUGAUGGAAUUGUGGCUUUGAUGAAGAGUCUGGGGAAAGAAUGGGGAGGAAACUGUGAGUAAAGUUCUCCAUUGCCCAAUCUUUCAGCACCUAAUAACUUGUGCUGAUGAAAAAUACCAGUCAUGCUGUUUGAGUUUGCAGAAUAAAUAGCUUUAAUUUCCAUUACUAACUGAGCUUCCAUUUGAAUAACGAAGACUUGGUUUACUGGACUGGUUUACUUGGAAUACUUACCCUGGCCAAUCCAGUGAAAUAAUUGGUAAGUGUAGUUAGAAUAAUAUGUAUGAAAGUUUUUUAAAAAGUAAAUGCUAUAAACAAUCAAGGCAUUAUUUAUUAAAUUGUUAGAUGCAAUGUAAAAAAUUUAUCCAACUUGAUGAUUCACUAAAUUUUUCCAAAUCAGUCAAACAAUGUACAAAAGAGGAGCUAAUAAUAGAUACUGAUAGCUUUUACAAAUUCUCUGUCAUAGAUAACUAGCUCUUAUCUAUGGAAAUAGGCUUUGGUUAUAACAUGAGAAAAUGAAAAUGCACAUCUAUCCAUAAAUGCAUUUUGAUUGAAAAUAUAAUCUUUUUACAAAGCGAAAUUGUCACAUUUGGAAUUUUCUAUUGCUUAUUAUUUACUUGAAGUAGUAGAAAUAAUAAUGAGAAGGUGCUAACAAUUGAGAGAAAGAGAGUAUGGGUGACAGAAAGAAUGAAAGACAGUAUCCAUUUUUAAACUAUGAUUAUGAAAAGGUGAAUUGUAAUUACUGGUUAACCUCCAUCUACUUUCAUAGGGUCAAUUAGGAGGGGUUAUAUUCCUCAAUAGAGGAAAAUCUGAAUUCAUUCUGCAACACCAGAGUAGAAAUAGUAAUUGGCAUAAGACCAAGCUCAGGGAAAAGCUUUAUAGCUAGAAAUUUACUAUCAUCUGAAUGUUUAUGUCUGCCCCAAAUUUAUGUCAAAACCUAAUCCCAAAUGUGAUGAUAUUAAGAGGUGAGCCCUUUGGUGGGUGAUUAAAUCAUGAGUACAGAGCUCUCCUGGAUAGGAUAAGUACCCUUAUAAAAGAAUCGAGGAAUAUCAUUGGCUUCUUCCACCACAAGUGGACACAGCUAGAAGACAUCUUCUAUGAAGAACAGGUGCUCCCCAGACACCAAAUCUCUCAGCACCUUAAUCUUGGAAUUCCCAGCCUUCAGAGCUGUGAGAAAUAAAUAUUUGUUGUUGAUAAGCCACCCAGUUUAUGAUAUGUUGUUGUAACAGCUUGAAUGGAGUAAGAAACAUAGAUACAGCAAAUAAAUAUAGAUAUAGGUAGAUAUAGAUAGAUAGGUAACCAGGUUUAUUUUGACAUCUUUUGAAGAAUAUAAAUAGUUUCAGAUUUAGAGGUGGCUGCCUGAAUUUGGAUGUGAAUAUCUACAGACCACACAAAUAUUUAUGGGAUCUAGAAUACAAUUUCACACCUUUAUCCUCUGAGUUUAUAUUUUCUGUUCAAUAAAAGCUGUAUUAUACAUUAUGUAGAUUUUUAAAUCAGUACAUAUAACUUCUUCAUUACUAAUAUGUGAAUGCCGGCUAUCCCCCAAAAAAAUACACCUACCUCAUUCUGCCUUUUACCAUGAGAAGUGAAGGAGUGACAAUCACCAUUCCAAAAAUUUAUGCUAGUGGAUUUUGACUUCUUUCCUCUGUAAACUGAAAAUAAAAUUCUAAGCCCCCCUACAACUAUCUAAAGGGACUCGCUCCUCUCAGCCAGGGUAUUCCACAGUUAACCUGAAAAAUUGGUUCAGACCAUGGCAGGAUGGUAGAGGGUGGGGAAUGCCUCAUUAUCUCCUCCUCUGUUUUGGAAUUCAGGAAAACUGGCCAGUGUUUAAUGUAAACAUAGAACAUAACUAUGAUAAGAAACAUUUACAUGCUAUUCUCUCUUAAUCCUGCUACCUGGAGGUUUCAUCUGCAUGAUAAAACUUUGGUCUCCACAACCUCUUAUUAUAACUCAGAAAUUUCUUUCUAUUGAUAAUAACUCUUUCAACCAAUUGCCAAUCAAAGAAGUUUUUAUUCUAUCUACAAUCUGGAAGCCACCUACCUAGCCUUGAGUUGUCCCCUUUCAGGACCAAACCAAUGUAUAUCUUGAGUGUAUUUGACUGAUGUCUCAUGUCUCCCUAAAAUGUAUACACCAACCUGUGUCCCAUCUACCUUGGGUACAUAUUUGCAGGAACUCCCAAGGUUGUGUCAUGGGUGCAUCUUUACCUUGACAAAGCAAACUUUCUAAUUUUUUUAAAAUGAGCAUAAGUUUUUUUUAAAUUAUAAAUUCUGGGGUACAUAUGCAGAUCAUGCAGGUUUGCUACAUAGGUAUACAUGUGCCAUGGUGGUGGUUUGCUUUAUCCAUUGCCCCAUCAUCUACAUUAGGUAUUUCUCCUAAUGCUGUCCCUCCCCAAUUCCCCCAAACCCUGUGCUUGCUCCCCAGCCCCUUACUCCCCAAUAGGCCCCAGUGUGUGAUGUGCCCCUCCCUGUGUCCAUGUGUUCUCAUUGUUCCUGAGUUCUGUCUCAGAUACUUUUGGAUUCACAACUCAAAACACUGCUCCAAAUACAGUCUACUCUUAAGCCCAUCAAAUGAGUUUUUAAUUUCAGACAAUAUAUUCUCACUUCUAGAAUAUUCAUUUGCUUCUUUUUCAUCUGUUCCAAUUCUUAAAAUUCUGCAUCUUUUCUUCCAAUUUGUCCACUUUCUUAGUCAUAAAAAUGACAAUUUUAUGACUAAGUGACAUCCUAAGAGAUCAAAAGAUUCUCCAGACUUUUCAUACUUGACUUUAGACAAAAUCCCAGGUACAAGCAAUAUUUAAAGAUUGUACCUUUAAUGUCCUAAAUUUUUAUAUGCUAUCUGAAUAACGAAUUGCAUUUCUUAUUAAAUCUCUGUAAUAGCACAUAUAUUAUCAGAAACAUCCAGAUCCACAGCCCAGACAAUGAUGAGAUACAGCAAUAUAGUGAAAUAUCACAAAGUACUAGCAUUACUUCCUUGGGGCAAGUUCAUCAUGGAAGCAGCCAAAGAGUGGCCUUGUCAAACUAAAAUAAGAGCAUUUUAAUGACAGAAUCUUUUACUGAGGGGCAAUUCCAGUUAGAAAGCAGUAUCUUUAUCUUUCAAACAAUUUACUUGUAUUUACCACACUUCAGAUAAAAUAUGGCAAAAAUCCAGAAUGAUAAAAUGUUUCCAGUCAAAUGUUUUCUUUGAUGACAAACAGUAUUAGCAUGUUAAAAGUCAACUAAUCCUGCUUAAACUAAUAGCAAUUGAUUCACAGAUCUUUGCUAAGGUAGAAUGUUUAAAUCUUUUUUUUUUUUUUUUUUUCCUAGACUAGGGUCUUUGGCGUUAUACUGCUGUUCAUGGAUUUUGUGUUCAGAAACGAGUUUGUGUAAUAAGCUUUAAUAUAAUUCUGUGGUAUCAUUAUUUGGUAAUGGUUUCUUAGCGGGUACAUUCAGCACACUGUGGAAAGUCUCAAUGUAAAAUACAAGAGCUAUCAAGAUCCACUGGAAUAGUCUCAUGGUUAGUCAAUGUUAUUUGUUAAUUAAAACUUUUGGCAAAAGUUGUGACAGUAUAUCAAAGAUGAGGGUGCUUUUUGAUCUGUUCACUGGGGAAAAAAGCCAGCGCCCCUGAAUUGCUAGAGAGUCCACUGGAUUUUCCUAUGUGGACAUUGAGGCAAGUCAAGUUACAGAAUGUACUUUGUACAUUUCACCAAAUAUUUUCAGGAUCCUUUAGGUAUGGUAUAAUGUUGUGUCUAAGAUUCUGUCAUUCCUCUGAAGAUGCCUGCUGGGGUUGCCCAGACAAUUUGCUCUACUGCAAAACUUUUCAAGUUUUCUCAUGUCUCCUUCCACCUCUUUUCUUCAGUAUGCCUGCUUCUCAUUCUUUCCUGUAGUUGUACCUGUUAGGAAAAGCUAAAUGCCUCAAUUCCUUUACUCUUUCCUGCUCCUUAUCUCUUAUGAUCCCAUUCUCUCUUGUUCCUUCUCACUGACGGUCUUGGCAUUUUAGUAAGAACCAGUCACUCUUUUAGGGGAAAAUUUCCCACUGAUGUCACAUGAAUAGUAUCUGGGUCAUCCAUUCUUUUACAUUUCUGGAUUAUAUAAAUAAUCACAUAGAGAGAGAGGGCUAUUUUUCACAGCCCUAAACCUUCUCUUCUCUGAUUCUAGUGCUCUUCUGGAUAUGUGAAAUUAUCUAGAAGACACAAUCCAUAUAUUUGAGCCACUACCACACAUAAACUUAUGGUUUGAACAUGAAGAAUGCAUAUAAAAAUCUGUGCAUAGGCCGGGUGCGGUGGCUCAAGCCUGUAAUCCCAGCACUUUGGGAGGCUGAGGCGGGUGGAUCACGAGCUCAAGAGAUCGAGACCAUCCUGGUCAACAUGGUGAAACCCCGUCUCUACUAAAAAUACAAAAAAUUAGCUGGGCAUGGUGGCGCGUGCCUGUAAUCCCAGCUACUCAGGAGGCUGAGGCAGGAGAAUUGCCUGAACCCAGGAGGCGGAGGUUACAGUGAGCCGAGAUCGCGCCAUUGCACUCCAGCCUGGGUAACAAGAGCCAAACUCCGUCUCAAAAAAAAAAAAAAAUCUGUGCAUAAUCUGCUACAGACCCAGUCAUAGCUGGUGUUUGGUGGAAGGUGUGUUUAGGAGCUUGGAGAAUGACUGCCCUAAGAAGUAAAAAUGAAUUGCUUCUCUUGUAGCUUCUGGAGGAUACCAAUACCAUCCACACUGUUUUUAUCUCCUGUCUCCAGAUAUGAUCCAAGGAUAUUUAGCAAUAGCUAGUGCUAAUAAUCAAAGACAAAAGAUAUUAGGAGUAGACAUUUCAAUCAAAUUCUGGAGAAUAUUUUUGUUUAUUCUGAUGAUCUAGUAUAAUGUUUUUGAAACUUUAAUAUGCAUACAAAUUAACUGGAUGUUUUGCUAAAGAUGAAAAUUCUGAUUCAGAGUAAGUCUGGGGUGUGACCUGAGAUUCUGGAUUUCUAACAUGCUCAAAAGGAAAACAAUGCUGAUGGUCCAAAGACCAUACAUUGAAUUGCAAGAGAGUAGGGUCAAUAUAGACGCCAUUAGCCACACAUGGCGAUUUAUGGUGCUAUUCAAGUCAACAGUAUUUUACUGAUUUUCUGCCUGCUUGAUCUAUCAAUUAUUGAAACAAAAGUGUUGAAGUCUCCAACUAUAAACAUGGAUUUGUCUAUUUCUUUCUGCAAUUCUAUCAGUUAUUAUCUCAUGUGUUUUGAUACUAAUUUAAUGUUAGGCAUACACAUAUUAAGGAUUGUUAUUUCACUUCUUGAACAGUUGAAUCCUCUAUCAUUAUAUGGUGUUUAUCCUUUCCCCUGGUAAAUUUUCUUUUUCUGAAAUAGGCUGUUUCUGAAACUAAGAUAGCUAGCUAUCCAGCCUUCUUUUAAUUAUAAUUAACAUGGUAUGUAUUGGUGCAUCCCUUUACAUUUAAACUAGCUUGUCUUUAUAUUUAAGUAGGGAUUUUGUGGGCAGUUUUUACUCCUUCUGCCUUCUUUAAAGACUUUUUGCUCUGUCUUUGGUUUUCUGUGGUUUGAAUAUGGAAACUGCUUAGAUAUAAAACUAUUGGCAUUUUAUCUUAUUUGCCUUGCUCUGAACUUCAUGGAUCUGUGGUUUGAUUUCUGUUAUUAAUUUUGAAAAAACAUAACCAUUGGUACUUCAAAUGUUUCUUCCUCUUCAUUUUCUGUUACUUCAUCUGAUAUUUCAAGUAUGUGUAUGUCACUCUGUUUGAGAUUGUUCUAUAGUUCUUGGAUGUUCUGUUCUUUUUUUUUUCAUUUUUUUAUUUGUGUUUCAGUUUGGGAAAUUUAUAACGACAUAUCUUCAAACACUGAUUCUUUCCUUAUCUGUGUCCACUCUACUGAUGAACCCAUCAAAGGCAUUUUUCAUUUCUGUUACAACGGUUUUGAUCUUUACCAUUUCCACUUUAUUCUUUUUUAGCUCUUUCAUUUUUCUGCUUAAACUUCUCAUCUGUUCUUGCAUGUUUUCUAUAGAGCCCUGAACAUAUCAAUCGUUGUUAUUUUAAAUUCUGUCUACUAAUUCCAAAAUCUGUGUCAUAGCUGAGUCUUGCUCUGAUGAGUGCUUUUUCUCUUCAUAACGUGUUAUUUUGUUGUUGCCUUUUAGCAUGUCUUAUAUUUUUAUUGAUUAAUAUUUUUAGUUGACAUCUAAUCAUUGUACAUAUUUAUGGAGUACAGUGUAAUAUUUAAGUAUGUAUGCCAUGUGUCAAAUCAGGGUAAUUAGCAUAUCCAUCACUUCAAACACACACUUAUAAUUUCCUUGUGUUGGAAACAUUCAAAAUCCUCUUUUCUAGCUAUUGGCAAAUUUACUAAAUUAUUGUUACCUAUAGUUAACCUACAGACUAUAGAACAUCAGUACUUAUACUUCCUAUCAGGCUGUUACCUUACCCUUUCCAGUCUCUACUAACUACUAUUCUACUUCCUUGUAAUUUUUUCUUGAAAGCCAGUAGCAGUGCAUCAGUUACUAACUGAAGUGAAUAGGCCUUAUACAUAAUCUAACUCCUAGCCAAACUAACAUAAAACCACAUAUUAACAUUCAAUAAUUGUUAUAGUAGUAUGGGUCUGAAACCAACAUUAACUAGUGUCCUUGUUUUGUCUCCAGUGUUGUUUUUGUGCUUCCUUAACAAGUCUUCCUUAAAUAGCGCCUACAUCUUGCACUCUUUCCAUUGUAAUCCACUGCUAUUAUACUGAAGCCCUUUUAGCCUGACAUUAAGGUAUAGGUGGUAGAGAAGAGUUCUUUGAUCUUAUGAUUAAAUUUCAUUCUUUUAAUGGGUUAAGUAGUCUAGGACCAUGGUAGGUCUUUCUUAGCUUUUGAUUUCUUCUUAGAUCAUUUAGGAAUGCUAGAGGACGUUAGGGACUUCCUUUCCUGUAGGCCAGAUAAGCCUCAGGUAAAGUCUUUUCCCUUUGAGUGGAGGUCUUUGUCAUGGAGAUUGCUGCAGGUGUAUUUCACAAAGGUUAUUAUCUUCUCUCCCUGUCAGAGCCUGGAGAAGAUUUUGGCUCUUCACUGUGAGAUUCUUUUGGAAAUCCCAAGAAAAUGUGAGAGGUCCUCCAAGAUUGCAUCCUUUACAAGUUUUUCACUCCCAUGCUAGUUCACAAUCAUUUUCAAUAUUUCAUAAAAGUUACCAAUUGAAAUGUUCCUACCAGUUUAUGGCUCCAAGAAAAGUGAUGAAUUACAAGUUGUUCAGCGUUUUCUUGUUUCAAAAACAGCAGUAACCACUUCCAAGUUUUUGUUUUUUUCUUUUGUUUUUUUAAGAGAAAGAGGGUCUUGCUAUGUUUACCAGUGUUAAAGCAAACUGAAUAUGACCUGAGAAGGACUCCAUAAUUCUGUAUUUGAGUCCUUUUGGACAAACUGUAACCUAGCUUAAUAAGCAGACAAGAUGGAAAACCUAACCUAAGAGUAUGCGCCUGCAACAAUAGCUGAGUCUUGGCCAAUCCCAGUUGCCAUACUUCAACCACUCAUAGACUGCUAAAUGUUCAAAUUGUGUUCAAAUAAGGCGAACACCAGCUUGUAACCAAUCUAGCUGUUUCUGGUUUCUGUACCUCACCACCGAUUUCUCUGUCACUUUAUUUAUUUAUUUAUUUAUUUUUAUUUUUUGUUUAUAAAUUAGUUCUGGAGGCAUCUCUGGAGUCUCUCUGAAUCUGCUGUGAUUCUGCGGCUUGCCUGAUUUGUGAAUCACUCAUUGCUCAUUUAAGCUCCUUUAAAUUUAAUUUGGCUGAAGUUUCUCUUUUAACACCAAACCUCAAGUAAUCCUCCCUUUUCAGCCUCCUGAGUAGCUAGGAUUACAGGCACAAGCCACUGUGCCCAGCUAAGCCCUUUACAUAUUGUAGCUGAAGCAGAAUUUCCAUAUGUGGCUAUUUAAAUUUAAAUUGUAAAUCAAAACAUACCUGAGACAAGUCUCAAUCAAUUUAGGAGCUUAUUUUGCCAAGGUUAAUGACAUGCCAUGACACAACCUCAGGAGAUCCUGACAACAUAUGCCCAAGGUGGUCAGGCUACAGUUUGGUUUUAUACAUUUUAGAGAGACAGAUGACAUCAAUCACUACACGUAAAAUGUGCAUUGGUUCAGGAUCCAGAAUGGCAGGGCAAUUCUAUGUUGAGGGUGAGGGGUGGCCUUUCAGGUCUUAAGUGUAUUCAAAGAUUUUCUGAUUGGCAAUUGGAUGAAAGAGAUUAUCUAAAGACCCGGAAUCAAUAGAAGAGAGUUUCUGGGUUAAGAUAAGCAGUUUUCGAGACCAAGGUUCUUAUUGAGAAUAGACUGUAAAAGUUUCUUAUCAGAUCUGAAGAGUCUGCUCUGUCAGUCUUAAGGUCUCCGUUUUAAUGUUAAUGUUGGUCAGCUGUGCCCAAAUUCCAAAUAAAGGAAGGUCAAAUGAGACAUAUCCAACAACCCAUUCCGACUAUGGCCUGAACUAGUGUUUCGGGUUUAUUUUAGAAUGCCCUUGGCCAAGAGGAGCGGCCCAUUCAGUUGUCUGGGUGCACUUAAAUUUUAUUUUGGGUUUACCAAACUACGUAAAGUUAAACGAAAUUUAAAAGUUUGUUUCUUGGUCACACUAACCAUAUUUCAAGUGUUCAAUAGCCAUGUGUAGCUAGUGAUUUCUGUAUGAGAUAGCACCCAUGUAGAAUAUUUUCAUCAUCACAGGAACUUUUGUUAGUCAGAGAUAGGCUAAAGGAAUUCCCUAAAGAAAUCUCAUGAGGCAACUAGAAUCACAAGACAAAAUGGGUCAAAGUAAAAUCUUUUAGAGUAAUGUGAAUCUUUGUCUCAGGUUCACUAAGAGAGAAAAUUCACAAUAGAGGAUAACUAAAGAGUUGACUCACAAUAGUCUGCAGUAAUAAAGAUAAGAAGUGAUCUCUACCCUAUUAUAGCAAUUAGCCUAAGGCAAAAAAAAACCCCCCAAAGAAAACGACCCAACCAAGACAAAGACCUUUACAUUUCCAUAGUAUAGCUAAAGCCAAUCUUGGAUUUUCUGCAAGUGACUGUCAUAUCUAGACUUUUAUAUCUAGAUUUAAAAGUGUUUUUCUAUGGCUAUGUUUUUGUUAUUGUUGUUGUUCCUUUUCAUUUUUUUUGAGACACAGUCUCACUCUGUCAUCUGUCACUCAGGCUGAAGUGCAGUGGCAGGAUCUCGGCUCACUGCAACCUCCAACUCCCAGGCUCAAGUGAUUCUCAUGCCUCAGCCUCCUGAGUAGCUGGGAUUACAGGUGUGUACCAUCAUGCCUGGUUAAUUUUUGUAUUUUUAGAAGAGACAGGGUUUUGUCAUGUUGCCCAGGUUGGUCUUGAACUCCUGACCUCAAGUGAUCCAAACCCCUAGCCUCCCAGAGUGCUAGGAUUAUAGGUGUGAGUCACACACUCGGCCUUGUUUUUAUAUUAUUCUGUAUAUUUUUCCAGUCAGACAAAAGUCUGAGAAUUAGCUAUUAAAAUGCUAGCUUUGGCUUGUGAUUUUGAGUGUGUAAAAAAAUCCCCAAGGAUAUAUGCUGAUUUAGCCUCAGGAAUUAUUUAGAAAUUAAUUUCAAAAACAUAUAACCCAGAAUAAAAGUAAAAACUUUUAAAAAGAAAGGGAGAGAGAGAGAGCAUCCACACAAUUCAUUUGCUUCAGAAACUAAAAAAAAAAAAAAAAAAAAUGAGAUCUUCGGUACUUUUAAUAUUAAAGAAUGUCAUGUAAGUGACAGGCUUAAUGGCUGAAACCUUUGAGGUGAUUAUAGUGCCAGGACAGUUAAAUAUGAUAAUGUAAUAUUAGACCAGAGAAGCAUAGUAAUGCUGGCAUAAUCUGUACAUUGUCAGUUGAUCAAAAAUUAUCUUACUAGUAUAAUACAGCAAUUAAAAAUAUCUUUUUAUAUUUUUUCUGAAUAAUGCUAUAUUCUAAUAUACUGUUCUGAGUUCCUCACAGAAGCCACAAGUUUCUACUUUAAGCAAUCUGUUUCUUAAAUUGAAGGUUAAAAUUAGAGGUUUACCAUUUUGCCUUUGAUCUUUUACUUUUAUCAGAAAAUAAGAGCCAUUAAUUCUGAAAUGCCAUUGGUUGAAAUAAAUAAAAUAUUUCCUAUGCUAUUUUUAAACUAUGAUAUUUGCACAAAAUGUGAUAUUUAUUAAUAAGAGCUGAUAUAUGUAUGUUGCACUACAUAGUUGUCCCUUGGUAUCUCUUGGAGCUUGGUUUCAGGAUGUCCCACUGAUAUCAAAAUCUAUGCAUGCUCAAGUGUCUGAUGUAAAAUGGUAUAGUAUUUGUCAUUGUAUACAUUGACAGAUAACCCCUGCACAUCCUCUCAUACACUUUAAAUUAUCUUUAGUCAUUACAUUACAUUACUUUACAUUAACUUUGCAACUUUUUAACUUUUUGAUUAAAUGCUUUCAUUACUGAGAGUUCCCAAAAUAAAUUCCUGAAAAUGUAAAAUGGUUAUUUUAAGUUUUACAGAACCAAUGUAAUUAAGAAUAAUGUAAAGACUAUUUCUAGGGCUCGAAGUUACUGGAUAUGAUCAUUAAUCCCUAAUAAGCAACUAUGUAUCCUCAAAUAUUGAAAACUGAAAAUAAUAAUAAAGAUCUUGAAAAUUUACAAAUCAAAUUCCUGGGCCAACCUGAUGGCAGCUAUUCAUAGAAAUCAAUAAAGCCAGUAAUGGGCAAGGAUGCAAAAAAGGAAACAACAGUAGUAUCAUAAGAUCUCCUCCCUCCACUUGCAGCAUCACACGGUUGGAGGGGUAAUGUAGAAAUUGCAAAUAUAGCUAAUGUCUAUUAAUCAUUACAUGUAUCAGGCACCUAACUAAUUAUUCAUUCAUUCACACAGCAAAUAUUUAUGAAUCACUGAAACUGCCUAGACACGUGGAAUACUAUAGAUGAACAAAACAGACAAGGUUUUCUGUCCUCUUGCCAUUUCUAUUUUACUAGAAGCCACAUAAAUAAGUAAAUAGUGAUGUCAACACUACUAAGGAAAAUAAAAAGAGUAGAGUAAGGUUUUUGGAGGUGCCGAGUAAAGAAGAGUAGCUGCAACUUGAAAUCUGUGGGCCUCAUUGAGAAGGUAACAUUUGAACAGAAGUGUUGUCUACCUGAAGAGUGCUCCAGGUAGACAAUAGCUGGUACAGUUACCUAGGAUGGAGAGUGCUACUCUGCUCGAGAUGCUACAUGGAAGCCAUUGUGUCCAUAAAGGAGUCACCAGGGAAUUGAGGGGAAAGAGAGUGAAGUAAAAAGGUCAGAGAAAUCAUGGAAGAUGAGACUAUAAAUAUACGUUGAAGAUAGAGCCAACCGGAUUUCUUGCUAAUUGGAUACACAUGCCAGAGAAGGAAUGGAGUCUGCCAUAUAUCCCAAGAUUAUAGCUUGAGCAACUGAAACGAUGAAAUUCCUAUCAGGUAAUAUAGGAGAAAAAAACAGAUGGAGAAGACUGGGUAGAACAUUGAAUUUCAAUUUUUCUUUUAUCUCAAAAUAAAUUUGAGGUUUGAUUAGCUUUAUGUGAUAAUUUUUCAUGAAUUUGAGAUGUCUGUGGGAAAUCCAAUUGGCAAGAUCAAGUAGACAUCUUGAUAUAUGAGUCUAGAGUUCAAGAGUGAUCUUCUCUGGAGACACAUAAUUGGUAACUUUGUACAUAUACGUGGAACAAAAUUGAGUAUGAGAACCAGGUACUAAGCUCUGGGACACUUGAACCGUGACUGCUAAAUUUGGGCAUUACUAGGAAUGGAGCAGAGAAAAAGUGACCAGAAGGGAGAAAACUAAGAGAAGGUAGUAUUUUGAUCUAAGAGCAGAAAGUUUAUGAAGGACAAGGGGAGAAGCAAUUGCCUCAAACACCAUUCAUAAGUAAAGGAAAAGGGAAUAAGAUGAAGACUGAGAAUUGACCAUUAAACUUGGGAAAUAGAAGAGUUUUACAAAGCAGUAAGGGGAGAUGGCUGAUUGGGAUGUAUGUAAUAGGAAUAGAAGUAGAAAAGUGAAGAAAGUGAACAUGUGGAAAGCUGGUUCAGAGAGCUUUUCUGCAAAGUGAAAUACAGGAGUGAAUUGGUAGCUGGCAGGGAAGUGAAGUCGAGAAGUUUAAUGACUUAUUUUAAGAUGGGAGAUGUCUUUGUAUUGGGAUGGGAAUAAUCCAAUAGAAAGUGAAAAAAGAUAAUAGAAUGGGGCUCAAUAUUUUUUAUUAGUCAAGAGGUGAUGGGACUUACUGUACAAAUCAAGGAAUUGACUCAUAGGAAUAAAAUUUAUCCAAUCUAUGGCAACAGACAGGAAAGCAUGGCAUACCUGUACAGAUGCUGCUAGGUCUGAACAGAAGGGAGUAGAAGCACAUAUAUGGAAUAAAAGUGGGUUGACUUUCUCUCCUUUACAUAUAUCCAUAGCAAUCAACAUGACCAGGAAUGGGGGAAACAAAUGAGUACCAAGGCCCUGAGGAGGGAGCUGGGUAAUGCCCUACAGUGUCCACUACAGUGACUCACCAAGUAGUGAGUAACUAAUCUGCUGAUGGGCGAUUUAAUAUUGCCUACAGAAAUUCUGAUGAAUAUGAAGCAAAUAUGCUGAUUUCAGUUCUAACUUUGAAGUACACUGUGCUGACGAUUUCAGUAGUAUUUUAAAUUAAUUUCCCAAUUAAAUAUGGUAAAAUAAUGCCAUUAUCAUGGAGGAUAAGGUUAUUGAGAAUUCAAUGAAAUCAUUCAAAUAAAGAAUUCAGCACAGUUAUUGCGCAUAGUAAGUACUCAAUGAAUGUCAGGUGUUAGUUAAAUGAAACAAUCAUAAUUCUCAGAAAGUAAUAAUUUAUUUUUCAUUAUUACUAGGUGUGGAGGGGGUGGUUUUGUUGCUAAUAGUGUUUUGUUUUUGUAUUGGGGGAGGUCUCUACUGAAGAUCAGAAUUAGAUAUCCCUCAGGAAGAAGCUGUAUUUAUUGGAGAUGUGCAUAAUCAUUUUAAAUUUAAGUCUUUCUCUCUUUAGGUUUUUUAAAUUGAAAAUCUAUUCUGAACUACUUAGGCAUUUUAAUUAAGACUUUGCUUUGGGGGUCCAAAGUGGCUCCCGCCGGAGGUCAUGGCGCUUGCAAAGGUGAGGUCAUCAGUUCAAGGCUAACCUGAGCAACCUCAUAAGCUCAAACUGAUUGGCAAAAAAAAAAAAAAAAGACUUUGCUUCUCUCAUAUUUAAAUCUCUUAAAUGCUGUGUGUUUACCAAAUUUCUCUCUUUUGCUCUUUAAAAUUGUUUAUUAUUUUAACUUAUUUGAGGACAUUUAAAGAAACAAAUGUUCUCUUGUUGAAAAGAAAGAUAAUUUCUUAUUGCAAAGAUGAGUGAGAGUUUAAUUUUGCCAACCAAAGAAAUUUGGAGAAAACUUGAGUAAGUGAUUUCUUUCAUUAGCCUGUCAACAGGUUAUCUGUUUCCACAUGUAAUAACAAAACAAGUAAUUCUGACUUAAUGAAAUAAAACCAACCCUGAAAACAAAUAGGACUCCUUUGCAGUUGUAACUGAAUUAGAUACUGAAAAAUGCUUGCAUUCUGAUGUUUUGAAAAGUCUAAUGAAAUUAUAAAUAUAAUAUUUCAGUGAAGGAAACAUGCAUAGAUAGCUUAAAAAGAAGCUCAAAUUCACUUUGCCACUUACAACUUUUCUUAUCUAUAAGUAGGUGAUAUGAAAUAAUUCAGGAAAAUUGCGUUUCAACCCAAAUUUCAUGAGGUUGCUAAGUAGAAAGUAGUUUGUAAUAUGCACUAGGACAAAUUGAUAUUGUGAUCCUUAGAGUUAAAGUCUUUAUUUGAUAAAUGCAGAAACUCAAAUUUAACUCUAACAGAAGUUUAAAAUAAGUUAUAAAUAAGAUUUAAUGCUAACAGCAGGGAUUUAUUCUAACCAUAAACUGAAAAAAACCCAUAUUAAUAAGUUACAAUCAUGCAUGACAGUAUAUUAAAAUCAAACUGUCCUUUUUUUUCCCAAAAGAAUAGCUGAUGAACUAGUUAGAGCUAGUUAAACCAGAAUAAAAUCUCUUUCAUACACACACACACACACACACACACACACACACAAUUGAAUAGUAAUAAGAAAAUAAUGUUAUUGUCAUUUAGAAUCAUUGCCUUCUAGGUUGAAAACAAUGGCUUUCUUGUGGUAUCUUUAUAAGUUAAUAAAAAUCAAUAAAGUAUAUAAUAAUGACAAAAGAGCCACUGUCCUAGGAUUAGAACGAAAUAUUUUUUCCUAACACUCCAUUCAAACACAUUUUAGGCCCUGGAGAAUGGAACAUUUGGGGAUUGUGCUCUGAGUCAAGCAGAAAUUCAAAGAAAAUUGCAAUGAUCAGAAAAACUGUCUCACUUUCUCUAAGUUACUCAUAGCAGUGAUUUAGUACAUAAAUGAAAUAACUGUCUACUGUUUUGAGGACAAAAUAUAGUUCACUCAUUCUGCUUUUUUCUCCCUUUCUUUCCCUAAAUUCUCACGGUUUUAGCUUUAGCACUUUUGACAUCGGGCCGGAGACAAAGACUUGAUUGCCGAUCAUUUGGGGGAGCAUGCAAUCCUAAGAAAAGGAAGUACAGAACAGGGCAAGUGAAAAUGAAAAGGAGCGAUAACUGCAUUUAUCUGUCAGUUCCAACCCUCAUUUGGAUAAGACUGACUCCUCAGAUAUUAACGGCCCUGCUCUUUUGGGUUGCUCAUGCAUGAGUACGUUGCAGGAGCUCAAUAAUGUUCUAUACUCAAGGUAGUAAGCAGUUAGUUUGCAACCCAAGGAAAGGCACUGUUGGGUUGCAACGGCCACAGCUAGUGGAGGGCUGAAUGGAGGCAGUCACACCACAGAAACAGGGGCUGCCAGUAAGGUUUAGAGCAUGGCAAAAUGGAACACAGUAGUUGUCUGAGAUGCUCUUCCUCCUCUUGUAAUCUAGACUCCUUUAAGCUCCCCCACUUAUGGCUCACAAAAAUUUUGUUUUUGUUGCUGCUCUGUACAUACCAAAGUGAUUUUAUCUCAAAUGCCUGACUUAGUUUUCUGAAGCAGGAUAAAAACAAAAUAGCGGUAUUUUUAACCUUAUGUAAAAAUUCUAAACAGCAUGUAACCUGUCGCGGGACGGGACAGGGCUCAGCUCCCUCCUUGAUUUGGUGUGCCUGAGAUUCUUGGCUUCUCUUUGCUCCAAGAAUGGGGAAGGGGCCCUAGUGGCACCGUGUGCUUUCUAUUCAAGCAAAUAUCGGACCCAAAGAGUUUAGCAGAAAGCUAUUUAUUAGGCAGAGAGAGAAGAGAAAGAGAGAAAGCUCCCACUCUGCCACGGGAGGGGCAUCCGAAGGGGAUUUCUGCACAGGUAGAGCGGGAAAAACAGCUCCCACGUUGUUGUGGGAGGGGAUCCCAGAAAGUGAAAUCCAUGCAGGUAAGAUGCAGUGGAGUUUUAACUUUGAAGUUAUUCCUGUCUCAUUCAUAUUCUUGUCCAAUUAGAGGAGUUCUUUCAAACUUCCUCUGGAGUGAUUGAUAUUUGACUCUGAUGCUGGAUUGACGGGCCCAGAACAGAGGCCCUUUCUCCCAGUGCUUUUCCAGGGCUUUUUUAAACAAGGGAGCACACCUGAAAUUUUAUCUUGUCCAUGCACAGGAAAGUUAGACAAAGAACUCUAGGUUCCCGGAUGGGGAGGUGGAUGGAGGCCUGGUGCUGGGAAAUUCUUGCCUUUGAAACCACGCCCCUUGUGGACCAGGGAAAAGAAGUUAACAUAGUCCCUCAAGCAGCUUUAGAAAGGGCCCAUGCAGCAAAACUUUGAAUCCCUCUACCUUAUUCAAGACUUUCCACCACCUCAAAGGAUUUCUACUCUUGGUUCCCUUCAUUCAUCCUAACCCUUGUUAGUCAAGUGUCCUGAAAUCCAUCCUACCCGUGUCUUGAAAUAUCUAGCAGAACAAAUAAUUUUUCUAAUGUCUAAGACUUUUUCUGAUGCACUACGAUUUGACAUUUCUUAUGAUAGAAUGUAUUACCUCCAAAACCAGUGUCUUAGUUCAGGCUGCUGUAACAAACUAUCAUGGACUGGGGGGACUUAAAUAACAGAAAUUUAUUUUUAAGAGUUCUAGGGGAGAAAUUCAAGAUCAGGGUGUGAGCUUGGCCAGGUUCUGGUGGAGGAGCUCUUCUGUUUGUAUACUCAUAUGGUGGAAAGAGUUCUCUGGGAUCCUUAUCAAAAGGCAUUAAUCCUAUUCAUGGGAGAGGGGGCUUCACUCUCAUGACCUAAUAAUGGUUGCCCAAAUCCUGACCUCCUAGUACCAAAACACUGGGGUCAGGAUUUAAGCAUAUAAAUUUGGGAGAGUGGGAUACAAUCAUUCAGUCCAUUGUAGUCUGUGUGAGAUAACUCGAAUAAAAGAUUCCUUUUAACAUUUUUCUUGGAAACACUGCUAUUUACUACCAUACACAUUUUUCAUAUCAUUUUAUUCUUGCCAAUAUACUUAGUAAUGAUUCUAUAUGGGUCUGAAUACAAUUUCAGGUGAUUAUUGUUGUAUGUUUUUGGAAAGCAUCACUACUACACUGAGCGAUGUUUAGUUUUUAGAUACUUGACCCCUGUAAUUUUUGCCCCUUUCUUGAAGCUCAGGGUCUUAGUACAGUGUCGGUUUCUGCAUCAUACCACCAGUGUUUACAGAUUGCUGCCAAAAGUCAAGACAAGGAGGGAAGGAAGCCCAUUGUUGAGAAAACGUGGACAGACACUGAAAGUUAAAGCUGACAAGUAGCAGCAAGCAAGCAAAUUCUUCAGCACAACCAAGAUUGUAUAAUGCAUUGAUAAACAUACACAAAAUUCUCAUUUGUUAAUACCAUUUGUCCAAAAAUACUGGCCCUAUGGAGGGCAAAAUAAAGAGAUACAGUUCUCAUUCUUGAAGGGAGCGCCGUAUACGCUGAGGACAUAAGAGAAUCAUGUACAUACAUUUACAUAACAUAGAAUUAAGUGUGAAGGUCCCUUGUACCACUGAAAAAUUUUUUUAAAUGGAAAAAUUUAUAUAAGGCUGGAGUCAAAAUGGUUUUAUGCAUUUAAAGGAGGACUUGCAGAAAAUGGGAAGUUUGAAUUUGGACUGGUGGAAAAGGGCAGAAAAUGCAUUUCUUGUGAGGAAUAGUAGUUGAGUAAUUCCCAGACACACAUGAUUCUGUCCACUUACAAGUUCAUUUUUCCAUUUCCCUAAGUUCCUCUUUGCUGCUUUCUAUUCAGAUAUUUGAGGCGCUGGCUCCCACUGGUCAUUUAAACUUGCCUUAAGAAUGCUUAUAUCAUCUUACUUAUGUAUGCUCUAGUCUCUCUGUAGAAUUAGGUCUUAUUUUAUUUUCUUCAAAGAACUUGCCUUACCUGAUAUUGUCUCGUUUACUUAUUUAUGUUUAUUUUUUCUUCCAUCCUCCACUAAAAUGUUAGCUACAUGAGAGAAAAGAAUUUGUCCAUCUUCUUUACCUGCUAUUCAACAGCAAUCUGAACAGUAUUUAACAUAAAGUUCACAACUAAUUGUAUUUCUUGGAUAAGUUGAAGAAUGCAUCACACAUAAUCAUAUGACCUUGCCUCUUUCAUGACAAGAACUGGGACUUCAGUAUGUUCUUUUCUCAGUCUCUCUACUAACUAGAGGUUUCAUGAUUCACAUUCUUGCUUCAUUUAAAAUCUAUUCAACAAU